rnacentral:misc_RNA from 1 species
GCCUUUUCUUGGCACGAUCCAACUAUUACACAUUUAAUGCUUAACCAAACUGUUUGUGAUUCCCUAGACAGAUUGAUUCAGUGCCUAGAAACUUGGUAUACAGUUUCUGUACGUAGUCUGUGAUGAACAUAUAUCCGCAUCCCCCAACCAUGUAAAACUGCAGGUAGCGGGAUCCAUUAGAAUUUGAUGGCUGAUAAGCUUUGAUCCGAAGCAGAGUCCCCCAUCCAUGUCCGUCCAAACUGCAGCAACUACAAUAUUAUACUCCGUACAACUGAUUGGUAUCCCAAGUGGAGAACUAACCGAGUGUUGGAAUGAAUCACUGACUGGGUUUUUGAGGAUUCACUAUCUGGAUGUUGGAUAUGGAUGUUUCAAUUUUUCUUGAUUCAAGCUAUCAGAAUCAAAAGGGAUAUCAACUAUUACUGAUUGUCCAUGUAUUUCCUUCUGCCUUGAUUUAAACUUGAGUCUCAGUAAUAAUGAAUUUGUCAUCACGCCAAUUGAGCUUAAGCCCAUGAGAGCUCCUGCUAUUGACGGAGUGAGCAUGGUUCCAGUAGAUGGCAGCAAGACUCCAGCAGCUACCGGAAUUCCAACAAUGUUGUAUCCGAAGGCCCACCAGAGGUUUUGUUUUACAGUCUUCAUUGUUAGCCUGCUUAGCUCCAGAGCAUCGAGCAACUGAGAUAACCGAUCGUGCAUCAGUACAAUAGAAGACACAUCACUUGCAGCUCCAACUCCACCACCAAUUGCUAUUCCUACAUGUGCUGACGCCAAGGCUGCAGCGUCAUUUAUUCCGUCACCCACCAUAGCUACAACUUUCUGAUCCUUUUGUAGUCUGCUUACAAAUUUAUUCUUUUCAUCUGGUUUGACUCCAUAAUAUACAUUUUCCUUAGGGAUGCCAACAACAGAUGCAACGUAUUCAGCAGCAUUCUUUUUGUCGCCAGACAGUAAAUAAGUGCUAAUCCCUUGUUUUGUCAAAGAUUCCACAACAUGCCUUGCGUCUUCUCUGAUUUGGUCCUCAACA